CUUCCAGUCGACGAGGUACAAGUACCUCGCCGGCUGGAAGGACACCCUUCCGGUCGACGAGGUACUUGUACCUCGCCGGCUGGAAG
rnacentral:miRNA from 1 species